rnacentral:pre_miRNA from 1 species
UGAUGAUGAUGAUGAUAUCAUGAUGAUGAUGAUGAUGAUGAUCAUGAUCAUCAUCAUCAUCAUGAUCAUGAUCAUCUUCAUCAUCAUCAUCAUCAUUCAUC